rnacentral:rRNA from 1 species
GACAGAGGAGGCAAGCGUUGUUCGGAAUUACUGGGCUUAAAGCGCGCGUAGGCGGCUCGGAAAGUGUCCUGUGAAAUCCCGUCGCUCAACGACGGAACUGCGGGGCAAACUCCCGGGCUUGAGGUUGGUAGAGGUGCCUGGAACUCUAGGUGGAGCGGUGAAAUGCGUAGAUAUCUAGAGGAACGCCGGAAGCGAAAGCGGGGCACUGGGGCCAAUUCUGACGCUGAGGCGCGAAAGCGUGGGGAGCAAACAGG